AGAAUGUGGUCAUCAGGAAAUUGGAUCUGUCUGAUAUGAAGUCCAUCAGAGCAUUUGCUGAGCUCAUCAAAAAAGGGUUGGUGUUUUGAUGCUUGGCUCCACGUGUCUAUGAGCAAGAUGUGGACUCCAAAUUUUGAUUGAGGAGAAACAAGUGAAUGUCCUGAUAAACAAUGCAGGCAUCAUGAUGUGCCCCUACUCCAAGACGGUUGAUGGUUUUGAAAUGCAG